CUCCUACAGCCUCCUCUACGUGUCCUGAUGUACUAGCUUGUCUCCUGGUAGCGCCUCCAUGCUCUGGACACUACGCUGACAGACACAGCAAACCUUCUUGCCACAGCUUGCAUUGAUGUGCCAUCCUGGAUGAGCUACACUACCUGAGCCACUUGUGUGGGUUGUAGACUCCAUCUCAUGCUACCACUCGAGUGAAAGCACCACCAGAAUUCAAAAGUGACCAAAACAUCAGCCAGGAAGCAUAGGAACGGAGAAGUGGUCUGUGGUCACCACCUGCAGAACCACUCCUUUGUUGGGGGUGUCUUGCUAAUUGCUUAUAAUUUCCACCUGUUGUCUAUCCCAUUUGCACAACAGCAUGUGAAAUUGAUUGUCACUCAGUGUUGCUUCCUAAGUGGACAGUUUGAUUUCACAGAAGUGUGAUUGACUUGGAGGUACAUUGUGUUGUUUUUGUUUAAGUGUUCCCUUUAUUUUUUUGAGCAGUA